ACGGGAGGCAGCAGUGAGGAAUAUUGGGCAAUGGAGGCAACUCUGACCCAGCCAUGCCGCGUGAGUGAAGAAGGUUUUCGGAUUGUAAAGCUCUUUCAGAUGAGAAGAUGAUGACGGUAUCAUCAGAAGAAGCACCGGCUAACUUCGUGCCAGCAGCCGCGGUAAUACGAAGGGUGCAAGCGUUGUUCGGAAUUACUGGGCGUAAAGGGUGUGUAGGCGGUUAUGUAAGAUAGCGGUGAAAUACCGGGGCUCAACCUCGGAACUGCCGUUAUAACUAUGUGACUAGAGUGACAGAGAGGAUAUUGGAAUACCCAGUGUAGAGGUGAAAUUCGUAGAUAUUGGGUAGAACACCGGUGGCGAAGGCGAGUAUCUGGCUGUCAACUGACGCUGAGGCACGAAAGCAUGGGGAUCAAACAGGAUUAGAUACCCUGGUA
rnacentral:rRNA from 1 species